GAGACAAAAGAAUUGAAGCGUUGCGAAUUGUGCAGCUAUAGGAUGGAAUGCAAGUGGAAGGGGAAGGAGAAAAUAGGUGC